rnacentral:rRNA from 1 species
GUGGGGAAUAUUGGACAAUGGGCGAAAGCCUGAUCCAGCCAUGCCGCGUGUGUGAAGAAGGUCUUCGGAUUGUAAAGCACUUUAAGUUGGGAGGAAGGGCAGUAAGCUAAUACCUUGCUGUUUUGACGUUACCGACAGAAUAAGCACCGGCUAACUUCGUGCCAGCAGCCGCGGUAAUACGAAGGGUGCAAGCGUUAAUCGGAAUUACUGGGCGUAAAGCGCGCGUAGGUGGUUCGUUAAGUUGGAUGUGAAAGCCCCGGGCUCAACCUGGGAACUGCAUCCAAAACUGGCGAGCUAGAGUACGGUAGAGGGUGGUGGAAUUUCCUGUGUAGCGGUGAAAUGCGUAGAUAUAGGAAGGAACACCAGUGGCGAAGGCGACCACCUGGACUGAUACUGACACUGAGGUGCGAAAGCGUGGGGAGCAAACAGGAUUAGAAACCCCUGUAGUCC